GACGAACGCUGGCGGCGUGCCUAACACAUGCAAGUCGAGCGAGUGAAUCUCCUUUGGGAGUGAAGCUAGCGGCGGACGGGUGAGUAACACGUGGGCAACCUGCCUCAUAGAGGGGAAUAGCCUUUCGAAAGGAAGAUUAAUACCGCAUAAGAUUGUAGCUUCGCAUGAAGUAGCAAUUAAAGGAGCAAUCCGCUAUGAGAUGGGCCCGCGGCGCAUUAGCUAGUUGGUGAGGUAACGGCCCACCAAGGCGACGAGGCGUAGCCGACCUGGGAGGGUCAUAGGCCACAUUGGCACUGAGACACCGCCCAGACUCCUACGGGAGGCAGCAGUGGGGAAUAUUGCACAAUGGGGGAAACCCUGAUGCAGCAACGCCGCGUGAGUGAUGACGGCCUUCGGGUUGUAAAGCUCUGUCUUCAGGGACGAUAAUGACGGUACCUGAGGAGGAAGCCACGGCUAACUACGUGCCAGCCGCCGCCGUAACAC
rnacentral:rRNA from 1 species